AGCGCAGCACUCAUUCUCUACCACAGAUAGUUUGUUUUGAGUAUCAGGAUAAAACGAAAGCCAGAAAUUUAAGAGAAAGGCAAGAAAUUUAACUGGACUGAGUAAAGCUUUCAAAAUUCGAUAAUAUUUUACACCUGGGAUGUCAGAUGAGGACUGGGGAUGAACACACUGUGAGAGCGUUCUGUCCAUUCCUUCGUGACUGAUUAUAUUGGGGUCUGAGGAGCAGAACAGUGCCCAUUCUUGCUUAGCGCUUAGUCCACACAGAGCUGAAAGAAGUGUUGGACGGGGCCUGGAGCCUAUCUCAGGAGACUUAAGGCACGAGGCAGGGUACACCAUAGAUGUGGUGCCAAUUCAUCGCAGCCCUCCAUCAAGUAUAUGUGUGUAUAUGUAUAUUGAAUGCACAGGACCAGUCCAGGUCUCUCUCUCUUUACAUACACACAUAUAGAUGCUUAUAUUUAUGUUAACUGUAUAUUUUCCUAUUUGAUAAUGCUAUUUAUGGUAAGAUUUACCUGAACACUAAAGGCUGCAACCAGGAUUCCAGGAUUCUCAGUGCUUUUGUAAAAUAAUCUGGAUAUAUGCAUCUGCCAAAUCCCACAAAGAUAAUGGCGUGUGUGCGCGUCCUGUUUAUUUUUUAUUUUUUUUA